rnacentral:rRNA from 1 species
UUGGAGGGCAAGUCUGGUGCCAGCAGCCGCGGUAAUUCCAGCUCCAAUAGCGUAUAUUAAAGUUGUUGCAGUUAAAAAGCUCGUAGUUGAAUUUCGGGAUUGACGUGAUGGUCAUGCCUUAAGGGGUAUGAACUGUUACUGUUGAUUUCUCACCUUCUGGAGAAACUUGAUGUCCUUUAUUGGGUGUCUUGCGGAUCCAGGACCUUUACCUUGAAAAAAUUAGAGUGUUUAAAGCAGGCAUUUUUGCUCGAAUACAUUAGCAUGGAAUAAUAGAAUAGGACGGCAUGGUUCUAUUUUGUUGGUUUCUAGGAUCACCGUAAUGAUUAAUAGGGAUAGUUGGGGGCAUUAGUAUUCAAUUGUCAGAGGUGAAAUUCUUGGAUUUAUUGAAGACUAACUACUGCGAAAGCAUUUGCCAAAGAUGUUUUCAUUAAUCAAGAACGAAAGUUAGGGGAUCGAAGACGAUCAGAUACCGUCGUAGUCUUAACCAUAAACUAUGCCGACUAGGAAUCAGACGAUGUUAAUUUUUUAAUGACUCGUUUGGCACCUUACGGGAAAC